GAACGCAUAUUGCACCCUCAGGUCUUUUCCAGAGGGUAUGCCUGUUUGAGUGUCAUGAAAUUCUCAACUACUUUUUUAACAUUUUAUGUGUUAAGGGUGAAGUUGGAGUUGGAGGAUAAUUGCUGGCGCAACUCUUGUCUAAGGUUGCUUGUUGGCUCCUCUUGAAUGGAUGAGCUUUUCUAAUGGAUCAUAGCUCAGUAACACUAAUGUGAUAAUUAUCUACGUUAGAUGUGAAAACUAUGAGUAGAGUGGAAGCUCCUAUAGAAAAGAAGAUAAUAUGUCUUGGGUGAUAACAAACCCUUGAACUUUGACAAAUCUGACCUCAAAUCAGGUAGGACUACCCGCUGAACUUAAG
rnacentral:misc_RNA from 1 species